UACGUAGGUCCCGAGCGUUGUCCGGAUUUAUUGGGCGUAAAGCGAGCGCAGGUGGUUUAUUAAGUCUGGUGUAAAAGGCAGUGGCUCAACCAUUGUAUGCAUUGGAAACUGGUAGGCUUGAGUGCAGGAGAGGAGAGUGGAAUUCCAUGUGUAGCGGUGAAAUGCGUAGAUAUAUGGAGGAACACCGGUGGCGAAAGCGGCUCUCUGGCCUGUAACUGACACUGAGGCUCGAAAGCGUGGGGAGCAAACAGG
rnacentral:rRNA from 1 species